CAUGGCACCAGUCCCAAGCCUGAGGGAACAGCAGGAUGGUGUGGCUGGGUUGGGUCCAGUCAGGCUUGUGCAAUAAUGCAGCCCUGUAAGACCAAGACAGCCAGGACUUCUAGCCAAUGCAAUAUGGAGAUGUAAUUAUAUAAAAAGCAUGAAGACAGUCAUGAAUGCCAGUAUGUGUAUUGUUGCUCUUCUUUGACAGAUGGAGAAUCAGGAGUCAGACCCUCAGUGCUGAAUGACGGAACAAAGAAGGAGUCUGUGAAAGGUCUUGAAAGAUAAAAUACAUCACUUAU